UGGCAAGUCGUGAUAACGGACACCACUCCACUCUCUGUAACAAACUCCACGUGGCCCUGGACAGCCCACUAUCAGGCACUUACGGACGUCGCUGUCAAGCGGUUAUGCUUUCCGUCUAUAAAAGAGAUCCCCCAGAUACGUUCUCCUCUAAGCUCUAAACUCUAUCUCGAAACUCUACUAAAAUCCCAUUCGAGUGCUCC
rnacentral:lncRNA from 1 species